AACGAACGCUGGCGGCAGGCUUAACACAUGCAAGUCGAACGGGUGUAGCAAUACAUCAGUGGCAGACGGGUGAGUAACACGUGGGAACCUUCCUAGGGGUACGGAACAACUCAGGGAAACUUGAGCUAAUACCGUAUACGUCCGUGAGGAGAAAGAUUUAUCGCCCUUAGACGGGCCCGCGUCGGAUUAGCUAGUUGGUGGGGUAACGGCCUACCAAGGCGACGAUCCGUAGCUGAUCUUAGAGGAUGAUCAGCCACACUGGGACUGAGACACGGCCCAGACUCCUACGGGAGGCAGCAGUGGGGAAUCUUGGACAAUGGGCGCAAGCCUGAUCCAGCCAUGCCGCGUGAGUGAAGAAGGUCUUCGGAUUGUAAAGCUCUUUUGCCAGGGACGAUAAUGACGGUACCCGAAUAAGAAGCACCGGCUAACUACGUGCCAGCAGCCGCGGUAAU
rnacentral:rRNA from 1 species